GACGAACGCUGGCGGCGUGCCUAAUACAUGCAAGUAGAACGCUGAAGGAGGAGCUUGCUUCUCUGGAUGAGUUGCGAACGGGUGAGUAACGCGUAGGUAACCUGCCUGGUAGCGGGGGAUAACUAUUGGAAACGAUAGCUAAUACCGCAUAAUAGCAGUUGUUGCAUGACAACUGUUUGAAAGGUGCAAUUGCACCACUACCAGAUGGACCUGCGUUGUAUUAGCUAGUUGGUGGGGUAACGGCUCACCAAGGCGACGAUACAUAGCCGACCUGAGAGGGUGAUCGGCCACACUGGGACUGAGACACGGCCCAGACGCCUACGGGAGGCAGCAGUAGGGAAUCUUCGGCAAUGGACGGAAGUCUGACCGAGCAACGCCGCGUGAGUGAAGAAGGUUUUCGGAUCGUAAAGCUCUGUUGUAAGAGAAGAACGAGUGUGAGAGUGGAAAGUUCACACUGUGACGGUAUCUUACCAGAAAGGGACGGCUAACUACGUG
rnacentral:rRNA from 1 species